rnacentral:rRNA from 1 species
CUAGCCGUAAACGAUGGGUACUAGGUGUGGGAGGUAUCGACCCCUUCCGUGCCGGAGUUAACGCAAUAAGUACCCCGCCUGGGGACUACGAUCGCAAGAUUGAAACUCAAAGGAAUUGACGGGGGCCCGCACAAGCGGUGGAGCAUGUGGUUUAAUUCGAAGCAACGCGAAGAACCUUACCAGGUCUUGACAUCCCGAUGACCGCUCUAGAGAUAGAGUUUUCCCUUCGGGGACAUUGGUGACAGGUGG